CAUCAACCAAAUUUUUAUGGCAUUGUGUAUACAUUAACUCUUGUGUGACAGAUCAAAGAUAGCAGGCAUUUGAAAUCGUCACCAAAUUGAGGAUUGAUAAAUUGCCACGACUGUUCUGAUUUCAAAAUAAUAGUUAGUUAGUUACUGAUCCUUAGGUGGCCCUAUGCUUUGAUUACAUAUGAGUUUUCCGAAUUUUUUGAUUUAAUGAUUGCUAGCCAUAAUAUUAUUAGGAGUACACUUAAAAAAG
rnacentral:misc_RNA from 1 species